UUGUACAUGCACAGGUACAGGGCAACGAAAUGCAGUUAAUGCCUGAUGAUGUAAUAAAGAACCACAGAGAGGUCACUAAACCAGAAACUACCUUUAAAAUUCUGUCCAUAAAACUUAUGUUUAAUAUGAGAACCAAAGGGCAGUACUGGUGGAGUCUACCUCUCACUGGGAGCACGUCUGACUUACUGAUGAUACUGACCUGACUCUCAGUGUGACUGUACAGGGAUGGAAUAGGCUGGAAUAACAGGAAGAUAUCCUGCAACCCAAAUAGCUCCUUUUAAAUGGAACCACCUUCCUCCAGUCUUGCCGGUCCCUCCCCGGCUUCCAUGCACUGUUGCGGAGGCGUGUCAACCAAGACACCCCCACAGCACGCAGAGCCUGCAUCUGAGGAUGAAGCUCAUCCACCCCCAGAGUCCUGCAACCUGACUGACCUCACCCCUGAGUGAUGGAUGAGUGUGAAUGCUUAAACAUCACCCUCCUUGUGCUGUAGCUUCAUGCUGUGCUCACAGGUGCAGCUCCAAAGCCUUUUGUUGGGAUCCUGAACAUCACGGAGUACAGGGUGCAGCUGAGGUGUGAGGUCAGAGGUGCGUCUCCAAAGCCUAGAGUGGAGUGGAGGGACAGCCAUGGAAACAUCCUUCCUGCUGAGCAGCCACAGGUGUCACACAGAGACGGCCGCUAUGACAUCACCCUCCUCACCACGGUGACCAGGACAAACACCAACAUCUUCCACUGCGUGGCCACACAGGAGGAGAUCGGCCAUGUGACUGAAGAAGAGAUCCACGUUCCAGAUCAGCUGUUCGAGUCCUGCGAUGGAGUCGGUGUGAUCGUUUCUGUAUUUGCUUCUGGAUUCUCUGUCGCUGUGUUUGCGUCUCUGUUGCUGUUCUCAGCUUGUAUUAAAUGUUGUUGAUAACAGACAGCAGAUACUUUCAUCUGUAUUUUUUAUUCUCUGCUCUUCUGUUUCCUCUGGUUUUAAGGCUGAUAUGUUAUUUAUACCAACAUUGUAUUUAUGAAAAAUAAAGUUGGGUAAGUGAA